rnacentral:rRNA from 1 species
CCAGGAUGUUGGCUCAGAAGCAGCCACUCAUUCAAAGAGUGCGUAAUAGCUCACUGGUCGAGCGUCUUUGCGCGGAGAAUUUAACGGGGCUAAACCUGACACCGAAGCUUAGGCAAUCCAGUAAUGGAUUGGGUAGGGGAGCGUUGUAUACGCGGAGAAACAGUAGCGUAAGCGGCUGUGGAGUGUAUAGAAGUGAGAAUGCCGGAAUGAGUAGCGCGAAUGCAGUGAGAAUCUGCAUGGCCGAAAGCCUCAGGUUUUUGGAGGAAGGUUCGUCCGCUCCAAGUUAGUCGGGAGCUAAGGUGAGGCCGGAAGGCGUAGCCGAUGCACAGACGGUAGAGAUUCCGUCACCACCAAAAGAGUUAAGCACAGGGACACAUUUGAAGUCUCAGAGCCGGGUGUUGGUUCCGGUAGAGAUCGAGGGAAAUUAGUACCGAAGUCUGAGAUGGAAGAUGGCGAGAAAAGCUGUGUGUAUUUCUGAGGUGCCCGUACCGCAAACCGACACAGGUAGGUAGGAAGAAGAUUCUAAGGCCAACGGGAGAAGGGUUGUUAAGGAACUCGGCAAAUUGACCCCGUAACUUCGGGAGAAGGGGUGCUCCAGAGAUGGAGCCGCAGAGAAUCGGCCCAAGCAACUGUUUACCAAAAACACAGGUUUGUGCUAAAUCGAAAGAUGACGUAUACGAGCUGACGCCUGCCCGGUGCUGGAAGGUUAAGAGGAGAUGUGCAAGCAUUGAAUCGAAGCCCCAGUGAACGGCGGCCGUAACUAUAACGGUCCUAAGGUAGCGAAAUUCCUUGUCAGGUAAGUUCUGACCCGCAUGAAAGGCGUAAUGAUUUGGGCACUGUCUCAACAGCCCGCCCGGCGAAAUUGUAGUACCGGUGAAGAUGCCGGUUACCCGCGACAAGACGGAAAGACCCCAUGGAGCUUUACUGUAGCCUAAUAUUGGGUUUCGAUGUUGCAUGCACAGGAUAGAUGGGACACAGGGAAACAAUCGCUUUGGCGGUUGCGGAGUGGCCGUUGGGAUACCAUCCUUGCGAUAUUGGAAUUCUAACCUGCGGCUCUGAAUCGAGUCGGGGGACAUUGUUAGGUGGGCAGUUUGACUGGGGCGGUCGCCUCCUAAAGAGUAACGGAGGCGUUCAAAGGUUCGCUCAGCUUGAACGGAAAUCAAGCAAAAGAGUGCAAACGCAGAAGCGAGCCUAACUGCGAGACUGACGGGUCGAGCAGUAACGAAAGUUGGAGUUAGUGAUCCGGUGGUAUGUGAGUGGAAAUGCCAUCGCUCAACGGAUAAAAGUUACCCUGGGGAUAACAGGCUGAUCUCCCCCAAGAGUCCACAUCGACGGGGAGGUUUGGCACCUCGAUGUCGGCUCAUC